rnacentral:sRNA from 1 species
UUUGGUUACUUGAAUUUACUGAGAAGACUGAGCAAAGGGAAGUUUAGUGAUAUCAUGUUACAAUUUUAUGAAGUCCAAAAGAAUGCUAGAUUUCCAAAUUUACUUGUGAGAGACAAAAGGAUACAAGUGUGUGUCAUUGUGUACAUAAAGUUUCGGUCUCACCCCUGUACAAUGACCUUUAUUUGCAGUAGAUGGCAUUUCUGAUAACAUUGCUUCAGAGCUGGAGAACUUCAUGGGGCUCAUCGAGGUGGUGACGGGCUACGUGAAGAUCCGCCAUUCUCAUGCCUUGGUCUCCUUGUCCUU